rnacentral:rRNA from 2 species
GUGACCUCGGAUCAGGUAGGAA